rnacentral:rRNA from 1 species
CAGUCGAACGCUGAAACCGGAGCUUGCUUUGGUGGAUGAGUGGCGAACGGGUGAGUAACACGUGGGUGAUCUGCCCUACACUUUGGGAUAAGCCUGGGAAACUGGGUCUAAUACCGAAUAUUCACACCACCGUAGGGGUGGUGUGGAAAGCUUUAUGCGGUGUGGGAUGAGCCUGCGGCCUAUCAGCUUGUUGGUGGGGUAAUGGCCUACCAAGGCGUCGACGGGUAGCCGGCCUGAGAGGGUGUACGGCCACAUUGGGACUGAGACACGGCCCAGACUCCUACGGGAGGCAGCAGUGGGGAAUAUUGCACAAUGGGCGCAAGCCUGAUGCAGCGACGCCGCGUGGGGGAUGACGGCCUUCGGGUUGUAAACUCCUUUCGCUAGGGACGAAGCCUUUUUGGUGACGGUACCUGGAGAAGAAGCACCGGCUAACUACGUGCCAGCAGCCGCGGUAAUACGUAGGGUGCGAGCGUUGUCCGGAAUUACUGGGCGUAAAGAGCUCGUAGGUGGUUUGUCGCGUCGUCUGUGAAAUCCCGGGGCUUAACUUCGGGCGUGCAGGCGAUACGGGCAUAACUUGAGUGCUGUAGGGGAGACUGGAAUUCCUGGUGUAGCGGUGAAAUGCGCAGAUAUCAGGAGGAACACCAAUGGCGAAGGCAGGUCUCUGGGCAGUAACUGACGCUGAGGAGCGAAAGCAUGGGUAGCGAACAGGAUUAGAUACCCUGGUAGUCCAUGCCGUAAACGGUGGGCGCUAGGUGUAGGGGUCUUCCACGACUUCUGUGCCGCAGCUAACGCAUUAAGCGCCCCGCCUGGGGAGUACGGCCGCAAGGCUAAAACUCAAAGGAAUUGACGGGG